UACAUGGGGUGCAAACGUUGCUCGGAAUUAUUGGGCGUAAAGCGUGUGUAGGCGGCCGCGCAAGUCGGAUGUGAAAUCCCCGGGCUCAACCCGGGAAGUGCACCCGAAACUGCGAGGCUUGAGUACCGGAGAGGUUGGUGGAAUUCUCGGUGUAGAGGUGAAAUUCGUAGAUAUCGAGAGGAACACCGGUGGCGAAGGCGGCCAACUGGACGAGUACUGACGCUGAGACACGAAAGCGUGGGGAGCAAACAGG
rnacentral:rRNA from 1 species